AAUCAACGCUGGCGGCGCGCCUAACACAUGCAAGUCGAACGAGAAAGUGGAGCAAUCCAUGAGUAAAGUGGCGUACGGGUGAGUAACACGUGGAUAAUCUACCCUCUAGUGGGGAAUACCGCUGGGAAACCGGCGACAAUACCGCAUAAGCUCGAGAGAGGAAAGCAGCAAUGCGCUGGAGGAGGAGUCCGCGGUCGAUUAGUUAGUUGGCAGGGUAAAGGCCUACCAAGACUGUGAUCGAUAGCCGGCCUGAGAGGGCACACGGCCACACUGGCACUGAAACACGGGCCAGACUCCUACGGGAGGCAGCAGUGGGGAAUCUUGCACAAUGGGGGAAACCCUGAUGCAGCGACGCCGCGUGAGCGAUGAAGCCCCUCGGGGGUGUAAAGCUCCUUUCGGCAGGGAAGAUAAUGACGGUACCUGCAAAAGCAGCUGCGGCUAACUACGUGCCAGCAGCCGCAGUAAU
rnacentral:rRNA from 1 species